CUCUUAUCCGGAGUGGUGGAGGGACUGGCCCGAUGAAACCCGGCAACCUUCUGAGAACUAAUCAGAAAGGUGCUAAUUCCUGCAGAGGAUUUUCUUCUGACAGAUAAGAG
rnacentral:ncRNA from 2 species